rnacentral:rRNA from 1 species
GUGGGGGAUAACGUAGCGAAAGUUACGCUAUUACCGCAUAUUCUGUGAGCAGGAAAGCAGGGGAUCGCAAGACCUUGCGCUGAUUGAGCGGCCGAUAUCAGAUUAGCUAGUUGGUGAGGUAAAGGCUCACCAAGGCGACGAUCUGUAGCGGGUCUGAGAGGAUGAUCCGCCACACUGGAACUGAGACACGGUCCAGACUCCUACGGGAGGCAGCAGUGGGGAAUUUUGGACAAUGGGGGCAACCCUGAUCCAGCCAUGCCGCGUGAGUGAAGAAGGCCUUCGGGUUGUAAAGCUCUUUCGGCCGGGAAGAAAUCGCAUGGGUUAAUACCCUGUGCGGAUGACGGUACCGGCAUAAGAAGCACCGGCUAACUACGUGCCAGCAGCCGCGGUAAUACGUAGGGUGCGAGCGUUAAUCGGAAUUACUGGGCGUAAAGCGUGCGCAGGCGGUUUUUUAAGACAGGCGUGAAAUCCCCGGGCUCAACCUGGGAACUGCGCUUGUGACUGGAAGGCUAGAGUAUGGCAGAGGGGGGUGGAAUUCCACGUGUAGCAGUGAAAUGCGUAGAGAUGUGGAGGAACACCAAUGGCAAGGCAGCCCCCUGGGCCAAUACUGACGCUCAUGCACGAAAGCGUGGGUAGCAAACAGGAUUAGAUACCCUGGUAGUCCACGCCCUAAACGAUGUCAACUAGGUGUUGGGUGGGUAAAACCAUUUAGUACCGGAGCUAACGCGUGAAGUUGACCGCCUGGGGAGUACGGCCGCAAGGUUAAAACUCAAAGGAAUUGACGGGGACCCGCACAAGCGGUGGAUGAUGUGGAUUAAUUCGAUGCAACGCGAAAAACCUUACCUACCCUUGACAUGUCCAGGAGCCUGAAGAGAUUUGGGUGUGCCCGAAAGGGAACUGGAACACAGGUGCUGCAUGGCUGUCGUCAGCUCGUGUCGUGAGAUGUUGGGUUAAGUCCCGCAACGAGCGCAACCCUUGUCGUUAAUUGCCAUCAUUCAGUUGGGCACUUUAACGAGACUGCCGGUGACAAACCGGAGGGAGGUGGGGAUGACGUCAAGUCCUCAUGGCCCUUAUGGGUAGGGCUUCACACGUCAUACAAUGGUCGGUACAAAGGGUUGCCAAGCCGCGAGGUGGAGCCAAUCCCAGAAAGCCGAUCGUAGUCCGGAUCGCAGGCUGCAACUCGCCUGCGUGAAGUCGGAAUCGCUAGUAAUCGUGGAUCAGCAUGCCACGGUGAAUACGUUCCCGGGUCUUGUACACACCGCCCGUCACACCAUGGGAGCGGGUUCCGCCAGAAGUAGGUAGCCUAACCGCAAGGAGGGCGCUUACCGCGGCGGGGUUCGUGACUGGGGUGAAGUCGAAACAAGGUA